rnacentral:snRNA from 1 species
GGAUGUGGGGGCGAUCUGGCGGCGACGUCUGUCACCCCAUUGAUGGCAAGGGGUGAUUCGGCAGAUCUGGCUGACUGGGUGGGAGGUGCCUCCCUCCCUGUGCACACAUGGAUGUUGCACGUGCAUCCCUCCUGAAGCUGUGCUCUCGGUCAAAGAGGACAACCAUCCCCAGGAGAAGAGGACUUUCUUCGGCCAAGGGCACACUAGUAGCUGCGCUGGGAAUUCCCGUUGUGACUCAGCAGGUUAGGAACCCGAAGAGUAUCC